rnacentral:rRNA from 1 species
CACGGGGGGAGCAAGCGUUGUUCGGAAUUACUGGGCGUAAAGGGUGUCUAGGCGGUCGGGUAAGUGAGAUGUGAAAUGCCCCGGCUCACCCGGGGACCUGCAUUUCAUACUGCUCGGCUCGAGUACGGGAGAGGAUGAGGGAAUUCCUGGUGUAGCGGUGAAAUGCGUAGAUAUCAGGAGGAACACCGGUGGCGAAAGCGCUCAUCUGGCCCGAUACUGACGCUGAAGCACGAAAGCUAGGGGAGCAAACGGG